rnacentral:rRNA from 1 species
GAUGAACGCUGGCGGCGUGCCUAAUACAUGCAAGUCGAGCGAACAGACGAGGAGCUUGCUCCUCUGACGUUAGCGGCGGACGGGUUAGUAACACGUGGAUAACCUACCUAUAAGACUGGGAUAACUUCGGGAAACCGGAGCUAAUACCGGAUAAUAUAUUGAACCGCAUGGUUCAAUAGUGAAAGACGGUUUUGCUGUCACUUAUAGAUGGAUCCGCGCCGCAUUAGCUAGUUGGUAAGGUAACGGCUUACCAAGGCGACGAUGCGUAGCCGACCUGAGAGGGUGAUCGGCCACACUGGAACUGAGACACGGUCCAGACUCCUACGGGAGGCAGCAGUAGGGAAUCUUCCGCAAUGGGCGAAAGCCUGACGGAGCAACGCCGCGUGAGUGAUGAAGGUCUUCGGAUCGUAAAACUCUGUUAUUAGGGAAGAACAAAUGUGUAAGUAACUAUGCACGUAUUGACGGUACCUAAUCAGAAAGCCACGGCUAACUACGUG